GGCGAGGCGAAGAGAGGCGAGGCCUGAUGAGGCGAGGCGAGGUGAGGCAACGGUAAGGAGAUGCGAAGCGAGGCAAAGGCAAGGCUAAGGCGAGGUGAGGCGUGGCGUGGCAGGGCAAGACGAGGUGAGGGGUGGCGAGGCAAGGCAAAGGCGAGGCGAGGCGUUGCAAAGUGAGGUAAAGGCGAGGCGAGGAGAGGCGAGGCGUUGCAAAGUGAGGGAAAGGCAAAGCGAGGCGAGGCGAGGCAAAGGCAAUGCGAGGCGAGACGAGGCGAGGCGAGCUGUGGCGAGGCAAGGAGAGGUGAGGCAGGACGAGGCAAGGCGAGGCAAUGCAAGGCGAGGCGAGGCGAGGCCUGACGAAGCAAGGCGAGGUGAGGCAAAGGCGAGGCGAGGCAAGGCGGCGCGAGGCGAGGCGAGGGCAUGCAAAAGAAGGCGGGGUGAGGCGAGUCGAGGAGAGACGAUGCGAGGUGAGGCGUGACGAGGCGAGGCGAGGCAAAGGCGAGGCUAGGCGAGGCAGGGCGAGGCGAGGCGAGGCAAGGCGAGGUGAGGCGAGGCAAAGGUGGGGGAAAGGCGAGGUGAGGCGGGGCGAGACGAGACAAGGUGAGGGAUGGCGAUGCAAGGCAAAGGCGAAGCGAGGCGAGGAGAAGCGGGGUGUAGCGAGGCAAGGCGGGGCGUAGCGGGGUGAGGUUAGAUGAGGAAAAGGUGAGGCAAGGCGAAGAAGGCAGGGCAAGGCGAGGCGAGGCGAGGUGAGGCGAGGCGAGGCGGGGUGAGACGAGGCGAGGCGUGGUGAGGAGAGGUGAGGCGAGGCAAAGGCAAGGCUAAGGCGAGGUAAGGUGAGGCGUGGCAGGGCGAGACGAGGUGAGGGGUGGCGAGGCAAGGCAAAGGUGAGGCGAGGCGUUGCAAAGUGAGGGAAAGGCGAGGCGAGGUGAAGUGUUGCAAAGUGAGAGAAAAGCGAGCCGAGGCGUGACGAGGCGAGGCGAGCUGUGGCGAUGCAAGUAGAGGCGAGGCAAGGCAAGGUGAGGUGAGGCGAGGCGAGGCG
ensembl:lncRNA